rnacentral:snRNA from 1 species
CUGAGCGCUCACUUUAGUGACACUAAAAUUGGAACAGUAUAGAUGUUCGUGGUCCCCGUGCAAGGGAUGACACACAGAUUCGUGAAGCAUUCCAUGUUUUU